rnacentral:misc_RNA from 1 species
GUGAAUCAUCAAAUUUUUGAACGCAAAUUGCACUCUCUGGUAUUCCGGAGAGCAUGCCUGUUUGAGGGUCAGUUUAAAUCAAAAUAAGUGUGGUUGCUGCCUUUCGUGGUGACGCACCGGAAGUGGAUUGUCUUGCCUUCGGUUAUGUGACAUUAAAUUUUGCUUGACUUUUUCGAACGUAUUUAAAUUAUUUUAAGUACGAUUGCGAUAUCGAUUACUCUGUGCGGUCAUCUUCAUGCUUCUCGUCUA